rnacentral:rRNA from 1 species
UACAGAGGUCUCAAGCGUUGUUCGGAUUCAUUGGGCGUAAAGGGUGCGUAGGCGGCGAGGUAAGUCGGAUGUGAAAUCCCGGGGCUCAACCCCGGAACUGCAUUCGAUACUGCUUUGCUUGAGUACUGGAGAGGAGACUGGAAUUUACGGUGUAGCAGUGAAAUGCGUAGAUAUCGUAAGGAAGACCAGUGGCGAAGGCGAGUCUCUGGACAGUUACUGACACUGAGACGCGAAAGCGUGGGUAGCAAACAGG